CGAACGCUGGCGGCGUGCUUAACACAUGCAAGUCGAACGGAAAGGCCCUGCUUUUGUGGGGUGCUCGAGUGGCGAACGGGUGAGUAACACGUGAGUAACCUGCCCUUUACUUUGGGAUAACUUCAGGAAACUGGGGCUAAUACCGGAUAGGAGCUCCUGCUGCAUGGUGGGGGUUGGAAAGUUUCGGCGGUUGGGGAUGGACUCGCGGCUUAUCAGCUUGUUGGUGGGGUAGGGGCUUACCAAGGCUUUGACGGGUAGCCGGCCUGAGAGGGUGACCAGCCACAUUGAGACUGAGAUACGGCCCGGACUCCUACGGGAGGCAGCAGUGGGGAAGAAUGCACAAUGGGCGGAAGCCUGAUGCAGCAACGCCGCGUGCGGGAUGAAGGCCUUCGGGUUGUAAACCGCUUUCGCCUGUGACGAAGCGUGAGUGACGGUAAUGGGUAAAGAAGCACCGGCUAACUACGUG
rnacentral:rRNA from 1 species